rnacentral:lncRNA from 1 species
UUAACCUUCUUGAACCUCAAGGCUUUGAUUUGUGCCUAGAAAGAGCAUCUGGCCCUCCAAACCUGGUGGAGGACCAGGUGAUGAGGCCGGAGGAGUAAUAUGGGUAUGAGAGCCAUGAAACUGUAAAGCACGGUGUAAGUGAACACACCACGUUCAGAUGAUUUACCCAAUGAAAUCUGAAGCUGGUCUCUGGCCCCUGUUCAAGCAUCAGCACUGUCUUUGAGGAAGUGGCACUUUCUUAGCAUGCCACCUGCCCCUUCGGUGACUUUAUCAAGCUGGAAACAGAGCAGCCUACAGCAGCAAGGACCAGACCCUGGCACUGUGGAAGGGCCAUGGUUGUGGGAACAGGGCUCGCUCUUCGCUUCCAGCAGGGGUGUCCAUUCUUAGUCUGUUCCUUGGUUAGAUGCCGCUUAGUUCCACAUGGCAAGCUAGCGCAGGUAUGAGCACUGUGGGUGAUAUCUUUUUACCUUUAUGUCUGGGCAGCUCAAAGAACCAAGGCUUUAGAUUUAAGAUAUUUAACAUACCCUUUUCUUUAUUCAACACUAGCCUUGCAGGCAGUGAUCCUGCAAACAGCAUUCAAGAGUGAAAUGGGCCAUUCUUUCAAGGCUGUAAAUAGGCUAACUCUUAGGCAGCUUCCCAAAAGAGUUGGUAUGUCAGUACAUUUUACUGAGAAAAAAAAAAAAA